CUGGAACAAAGCAAGGAAAUAAGAUUUGCUGGGGCUAAUCCUGAAACUUCAGUCUUAAAGCAGAAUUAUUGUUUUUACCUUUCUUACCCAGAAAGGGAUUUUUUUUCAUGCUGAUCUGCUGUAUUUUUUUCAGUAUUGUACUUUUUAAACUGAAUUAAAAGCUUUUAUUUUUCUCCUGCAAUUAGCUCCCUGCAAACUUCUUCCUGUUCAAUUUACUGAUAUAACUGUCUUUUCCAUGCACUGCCCACCUAAUUCCUGUCAUACAGUAUCGCUCAUACUAUGAAAUCCUCUAAACAAAUGUAUUGAAAGUCUGCAAAAGAUGUGUUUGCCCACUGGUCAUAGCUGAUUUUAUAUAUGUAUUGGAGGAAAGCUUAAGCAUAUUAGCAGAAAGGAAAAAAGUACAUCUUUACACAUAUAAUCAUAGAAUGGCUUGGGUUGGAAAGAAACUUAAAGCUCAUCAAGUUCCAACACCUCCCACUAGACCAGGCUACUCAAAGCCCCAUCCAACCUGGCCUUGAACACUGGUGACACUUUAUUUGAUAUGGCAUGGAAAAAAAAAAAAAAAGAAGAAAAUCUAAUAUUUUAUUGCAACCCAUUAUCAUCUCUGCCUUCAUCCACAUAACUCUGAGUUAUCUUAAGCUGAAUUUCCACUAAAUGGGUCAGUACAUGCUUGUACUUAAUCACAUACAUACUUUGCACUGCACGACUAGCAUCAAUGAGCAAACUCUGACACGUGCACAUACUUAAACAGCCAUACUGAAUGCGUAUACAUUCCUUGGGCAAUGAGCCCACAAACCUGAGGAGCAUUCACACACACACACAAGCCUAAAGGCAGUCACUGAAAAUUGUGCUGCAAUUUCAUCAUCUAAGAUUUCUUCUCUGAAACUUGGUGAUAAUAUUCCUUUAUCUUACAAAGGUCUUGAGAAGGGUACUUUGCUGAUGUUGGUAAAGGGGUUUGAAGAUCAGAAUUGCUAUGCCAUAAUGUUAAUGAUGGAUAAUAACUGGCCUAUUCUAGCUUGAGAAAGGGAUGUAGGAAUUAAUCUGUGUACAUACACAUGCAUAUGAAGAGAAAAGCAGGGACACAGGUUUUGAAUGCUGGUCACAAUCUUCUCAAUGCAGAACAGUUUUCUUCAGUAUAUUAUCAAAGCUACAGUCCUGCAUGUACCUGAAGCAACUGAAGCCUUGUAUUUUUUUUUCCUGUAACAAGUCUGAACAACCUCAGGAAUGUUCACCUAAAGCUGUAUCUUCAAUGAGAUGAAAAUCUAGCCGUUUUCCAGCACAGGUAUUUAUAUAAACAUCUCUAAUUAUUUUCAGGUAGGUCUGUGCUAGAAGUGCCAAGCUUUAAUAAUAGCCCCAAACCCCAAAGGCAACCUCUGGCAGAGACUUGAAAGAGUCUGCAUGCAGGUGCUGCAAGGGGCCUCUCCCUUGCUGGUUUGGGCAACCUGCCACAGGCAGGAUGACAAAGCAGAAAGUGCUCUGUGCGUCACAUGCUUGCUCUCCAUAAAAUUUCAGCCAUUAACGGCAAUUACAAUAGCCCCCACUGAUGAAUCAAUACUUCCCAGAAAUCAAUCAGCAGACACCUUUUUGUAGCGUAGGAGAACCUGGGCCAUGGAGCCACUCUGGAUAAUCCUCAGACAUAGUGGCAAGGGCUUUCUCUGUCCAUAAGCAUCAGUGUUACUUAAGCACAUCUGCAGGAAUUCACAACCACUGCAGGAAGAUCCAGUGAGGCUCUUACCCUGCCCUAGCACCACCUUGGUUUUUGUUCAUCCCAAUCUAAAAGGUGGUGGCUGUUGAGUGCUAUCUCCCCUAUGACCUGCAAAGUGCUCCAUGAUGUGUGGUGAACCAAUCUAACUAAUCACUACUAUCAAAAGGGGACAAGCCUACCCACACUAGGUUUUUAAUUUGUGUUGCUGUCUGGGUACUUGGCACCAGCUCUGGCAGCCAAAAACCCUUACAUGAGCUAAACCAACUCACUAACCUAGGAGAAAACUAACCCAGGAGAAGAAAAGAUGUGGACAGUUUCCCACCAGCCAAACAAGCUCAGGGAAGGGUCCUGUGAGCUCCACAGCUGGUGUCAGGCAGAAGGCAUAGCCAUAUUGAACAGCAGAGAGGAAGAGAAGGCAGCAACAUUUCUCUUGUUGGUAGCAGCAAAACUCCAGAUUUGCUUAGCAGCUUGUUAAACCAGUGGAAAACCCCACCUAUUUAGCGUUUACUUGAAUCCAUUUCUGAAGCAGACUACACUAAGCCUGACUGACCCUUCUUGAGCAGGGAAAAACCCCCAAAACCAAACAAACAGUGAAACAACUAUGGUAUUUUUAAUCCAUAUCCUUCCUUAUUGGGAGUGAGCUUCCUCACAAAUCAAAGUCCUCCCUGGUACCAAGGCCUCUGAACUUUUGACUGUUGGUUGUGUAACUUCUGGCAGAGGAGCAAAAAGGCACAAUCCAUUUCAGAAGGCCUUGACCAGGCAGGAACAUGACCACAAAAGCAUAGAAUAGCUUCAUGAACAGAACUGCUCCAGGAUAAGAAUUGCCUUACUCUGCAAAAGCAUCCGCACAGGGAUCCAACAGGCUGCCAAGACACGAUGUGGGGAACCACGGAAAGCACCUACCCUUCAACUAUUUGUCAUGAAGGUCACUACUUCCUCUGUUGCACAAACUCAAACAUUUGGAAUUAAUGGUAUCAACUGGCCAUUAUAUCAUUCAGAUUACGACAAGGGGAAAAAAAACAAGCCUUUUAAAUACACACUUCCAGCCUGGAUCAUGUAGAGAUCCAUGCCAGAGGCUACCUUACGAUCAGCUGAACUGACAAACCUGUGAAGGAAUGGAAACCUGAGGCUUUGCUUACACACACAGCUCUUGCUUUACCUAUUAAACUGUCUUCAUCUCAACCCCUGAGUUUUCUCACUUAAACCCCUCCAUGCCACUGGGGGAGAAUAAGCGAGUGGUUGCAUGGUGCUUCGCUGCCAGCUGGAGUUAAAAUACAACACUCAUUCUCAAAUUCAAAAAAACACCAAGCUUCAACACUGACAAAUAAAACAGUAAAGUGCAUUUUCCUAAGAAAUCGGAAAUUUUCUUGUGUUAUUCCUUACAUUUGUUCAAUGUGUUGCUCCAAAGUGCUUUAGUUUUCAUUGCAUUCUUGUUAAUCCGCUCUUAAUCGUAUCUAAGAGCUUAAGACUUCUUCCGUUUAAAUAAAGCAUAGCUUGAAUGGGAUCAACAUCAAGAUAUAAUGCAGAAUAACUUAAA